UUCGGGACAACUCUGGGAAACUGGAGCUAAUACCGGAUACGCCCUUUUGGGGAAAGGUUUACUGCCGAAGGAUCGGCCCGCGUCUGAUUAGCUAGUUGGUGGGGUAACGGCCUACCAAGGCGACGAUCAGUAGCUGGUCUGAGAGGAUGAUCAGCCACACUGGGACUGAGACACGGCCCAGACUCCUACGGGAGGCAGCAGUGGGGAAUAUUGGACAAUGGGCGCAAGCCUGAUCCAGCCAUGCCGCGUGAGUGAUGAAGGCCUUAGGGUUGUAAAGCUCUUUUAUCCGGGACGAUAAUGACGGUACCGGAGGAAUAAGCCCCGGCUAACUUCGUGCCAGCAGCCGCGGUAAUACGAAGGGGGCUAGCGUUGCUCGGAAUCACUGGGCGUAAAGGGCGCGUAGGCGGCGUUUUAAGUCGGGGGUGAAAGCCUGUGGCUCAACCACAGAAUGGCCUUCGAUACUGGGACGCUUGAGUCUGGUAGAGGUUGGUGGAACUGCGAGUGUAG
rnacentral:rRNA from 1 species